rnacentral:lncRNA from 1 species
CUUCCAGAACAACAGCCAUUGGCUUGUUGGUAUUAAGCAAAGAAGAGAUAGAUUACAAACAUAUAUCAAUCUCUACUAUAUAUGAUCAAUGUUAAAUAAUACAGAUAAACAAGAGUGAGAAGUACUUCUAAUUAAUGGACGACAUACACUUGAUUUGUACAAAAUGACUGGAGUGAGUCUGCAGUGAGAGCAUUAGUCAACCAUUGUGUAAGAGCACAAUAUAAGAGUAUCACGAGAACACCAGUUGGCCAGAGCAUACAGAUGAUAAAGUGGCUGUAGUGGAAACUUUCCCUGUAUUGACAGGAAAAACUCAAUGAAUCAUAGCACAAUCAGAAAGCACAUUCAUGUGCCUUUUAACAUAAAUAAAUAUUCCUAAGAUUUCAACAAAAAUAGAAGAACAUGGUGAUAUAGGAGGAAUUUUAGCCUUUCCUUGUUAAUUCACCCAGACUACAAUGCAUAAUGAGACCAAACACAAUGCUUUCUCUACAAAGGUGGAUACAAAAUUCCUCUGGGUGUGCUCUUUCUUUUUCAGAAACGAUAUCCUCUUUGGAUACGGAGAAAUAGAAUGCUUAAUCAAACUGCAGAAAAUAUUUGCUAGUUUCUAGUUAUUUCAUUGACUGACAACCACAUCACAAUUUAAAAGAUCACACUUGAACCACAAUAUCUAUAGAUAUUAGUAAAUAAAAACUAACCGAAAACUGGAAUCGUUUGCGUAGGCAUUGACGAACAAUUAUUUUUCUCUCGUCGGCGUCUAUAGCUCGAGUAGCUUAGGGGAGUCUGUGACUGAUAUGAAGUAGAUGGUGUAGAUGAAUAUUUUGCAAAGUUGAAAAUUUAUAUAAAAAAUAUGGGAAAGAUGAAAUUACGGAAGACAGAUUUGCAGCUUUCCGAAUCUAUUGACUCCAAAUUACUUACCCCAAGCAUUGAUUNNNNNNNNNNNNNNNNNNNNNNNNNNNNNNNNNNNNNNNNNNNNNNNNNNNNGGGAAGAUGAAUUACGGAAGACAGAUUUGCAGCUUUCCGAAUCUAUUGACUCCCAAAAUUACUUACCCCCAAGCAUUGAUUCAUGAAUCUGUAAGAGAUGUUGAUGAACGAUACAACCACAGAUGAAGCAGCAGGAUAGGAGCUCUAACGACGGAUCAAUCACUGAAACUGAUGAGAUCGAUAGGGUUUACAAUGGCGUCAACUGUUACAACUUUAUCUUCGUCAUCGAAAAAAUUACAGAAAUUAACAUAUUAUAUAGGAAGGAUGAAAUCGACAGAUUAGCCUCUCCAAAUCUAUCACUCCCAAUUACUUACCUUGAUUCAUAUAUGGAUCUGUAGUUGUGGGGAAGAGACGAUUGCAGCCAGGGAUGAAGCACCUUCCAAAUUUGGGCUAUCGAAUGAAAUAGAGAGAGAGAUAGACAGAAGCACCUUCCAAUUUGUGGGCAAGAGGCGUUUGCAGCCAUGGAUGAAGCACCUGCUUUGAAAAGUUAUCUGCCCUUUCUGCUGAUUGGAUGAAUUGUGGAGAAGAUUUUUUGAGAAGAUGGAGUAUAAUUUUGAGUGAGUAACGCUGAGUGAAUUCAAAUAAUAGCAAAUUUGGGAGAAAUAUUUUGGAGAAGAUGAUGGGCUCUUUGAAAUCUCUUAAUUAAUGAUUAAAGAGAUUAGGAGAUUAAUGAUCCCCUUGUGAUGUGGUGAUUGCCUUAUAUAAACAAAUGAAACGCCUUUUUUUAUGAUUAGGGAGAGGGGGUAAGAAAUAGAGAAAUUAAGAAACGCCUUUGGCUUAGAAGAAUUCAAAGAGGAAGAAAUAGAGGUUUUUGAGAGCGCCACGUAGG